ACUUAAAUUGAAGAGUUUGAUCAUGGCUCAGAUUGAACGCUGGCGGCAGGCCUAACACAUGCAAGUCGAGCGGUAGCACAGAGAGCUUGCUCUCGGGUGACGAGCGGCGGACGGGUGAGUAAUGUCUGGGAAACUGCCUGAUGGAGGGGGAUAACUACUGGAAACGGUAGCUAAUACCGCAUAAUGUCGCAAGACCAAAGUGGGGGACCUUCGGGCCUCAUGCCAUCAGAUGUGCCCAGAUGGGAUUAGCUAGUAGGUGGGGUAACGGCUCACCUAGGCGACGAUCCCUAGCUGGUCUGAGAGGAUGACCAGCCACACUGGAACUGAGACACGGUCCAGACUCCUACGGGAGGCAGCAGUGGGGAAUAUUGCACAAUGGGCGCAAGCCUGAUGCAGCCAUGCCGCGUGUGUGAAGAAGGCCUUCGGGUUGUAAAGCACUUUCAGCGGGGAGGAAGGCGUUAAGGUUAAUAACCUUGGCGAUUGACGUUACCCGCAGAAGAAGCACCGGCUAACUCCGUGCCAGCAGCCGCGGUAAUACGGAGGGUGCAAGCGUUAAUCGGAAUUACUGGGCGUAAAGCGCACGCAGGCGGUCUGUCAAGUCGGAUGUGAAAUCCCCGGGCUCAACCUGGGAACUGCAUUCGAAACUGGCAGGCUAGAGUCUUGUAGAGGGGGGUAGAAUUCCAGGUGUAGCGGUGAAAUGCGUAGAGAUCUGGAGGAAUACCGGUGGCGAAGGCGGCCCCCUGGACAAAGACUGACGCUCAGGUGCGAAAGCGUGGGGAGCAAACAGGAUUAGAUACCCUGGUAGUCCACGCCGUAAACGAUGUCGAUUUGGAGGUUGUGCCCUUGAGGCGUGGCUUCCGGAGCUAACGCGUUAAAUCGACCGCCUGGGGAGUACGGCCGCAAGGUUAAAACUCAAAUGAAUUGAC
rnacentral:rRNA from 1 species